rnacentral:tRNA from 1 species
GCAUUAGUGGUUUAAUGGUAGAAUUCUCACUUUACAUGAGGGAGACCCAGGUUCAAUUCCUGGCCAAUGUA